rnacentral:tRNA from 1 species
GGGGCUGUAGCUCGGUGGUAGAGCACCACCUUGCAUGUGUGAGGCACUGGGUUCGAUCCUCAGCACCACA